AUCCCAUGGUGAGGACACCUCCUAAGCAUCUCUUUAAAUAUUUCCCAUGCUUCAUAUAGGGACUCCCUCUCAAAUUGAGCAAAAGUAGUAAUAUCAUUAAUUAAUUU
rnacentral:snoRNA from 1 species